UACGUAGGGCGCAAGCGUUAUCCGGAAUUAUUGGGCGUAAAGAGCUCGUAGGCGGUUUGUCGCGUCUGCCGUGAAAGUCCGGGGCUCAACUCCGGAUCUGCGGUGGGUACGGGCAGACUAGAGUGCAGUAGGGGAGACUGGAAUUCCUGGUGUAGCGGUGAAAUGCGCAGAUAUCAGGAGGAACACCGGUGGCGAAGGCAGGUCUCUGGGCUGUAACUGACGCUGAGGAGCGAAAGCAUGGGGAGCAAACAGG
rnacentral:rRNA from 1 species